rnacentral:misc_RNA from 1 species
AACGCACAUUGCGCCCUUUGGUAUUCCUUAGGGCAUGCCUGUUCGAGCGUCAUUUCAAACUUCAAGCCCCCCUUUAGCUUGGUGUUGGGCGUCUGUCCUCCCCCCGGGACUCGCCUCAAAUGCAUUGGCAGCCGGCACGUUGGCUUCGAGCGCAGCAGAAACGCGCGCGGCGUCCGACGGUGCCCGGCUCUCCAGGAAGCCUCCACCUCAAGUUUGACCUCGGAUCAGGUAGGGAUACCCGCUGAACUUAA